UACGUACGAGGCGAGCGUUAUCCGGAAUUACUGGGCGUAAAGCGCGCGCAGGUGGUUCGUUAAGUAGGGCGUGAAAUCUCCCGGCCUAACUGGGAGGGGUCGCCCUAGGCUGGCGGACUUGAGGCUGGCAGAGGUAGGUGGAAUUCCUGGUGUAGUGGUGAAAUGCGUAGAGAUCAGGAGGAACACCGGUGGCGAAGGCGGCCUACUGGGCCAGCACUGACGCUGAGGCGCGAAAGCUCGGGGAGCGAACGGG
rnacentral:rRNA from 1 species